GAGCACUUCUCCUUUGCUGAGAUAAUCCAUCCACCUCACAGGUGUGGCAUAUCAAGAUGCUGAUUAGACAGCAUGAUUAUUGCACAGGUGUGCCUUAGGCUGGCCACAAUAAAAGGCCGCUCCAAAAUGUGCAGUUUUACUGUAUUAAAGGGAUCCGGGGGGCUCCAAAAACUAGUCAGUCUCUGGUAACCACCAUUUGCUUCACACAGUGCAACACAUCUUCUUCGCAUAGAGUUGCUCAGGUUGUUGAUUGUGGCCUGUGAAUUUUGGUCCACUCCUCUUCAAUGGCUCUGUGAAGUUGCUGGAUAUUGGCAGGACCUCGAACAUGCUGUUGUAUAUGCCGAUCCAGAGCAUCCCAAACAUGCUCAAUGGGUGACAUGUCCGGUGAGUAUGCUGGCCAUGCAAGAACUGGGAUGUUUUCAUCUUCCAGGAAUUGUGUACAGAUCCUUGCAACAUGGAGGCUGUAUAUUAUCAUACUGCAACAUGAGGAGAUGGUCGUGGAUGAAUGGCACAGCAAUGCGCCUCAGGAUCUCAUCACAGUAUCUCUGUGUAUUCAAAAUGCCAUCAAUAAAAUGCACCUGUGUUCAUUGUCCAUAACAUACGCCUGCCCAUACAAUAACCCCAUCGCCACCAUGGGCCACUCGAUCCACAACAUUGACAUCAGGAAACCGCUCACCCACACAACACCAUACACUCUGUCUGUCAUAUGCCCUGUGCUGUGCAAACCGUGAUUCAUCCGUAAAGAGAACACCUCUCCAAAGUGUCAGACGCCAUCGAAUGUGAGCAUUUGCCCACUCAAGUCGGUUACGACGACGAACUGCAGUCAGGUGAGGACGAAUAGCAUGCAGAUGAGCUUCCCUGAGAUGCUUUCUGACAGUUUGUGCAGAAAUUCUUUGGUAAUGCAAACCGAUUGUUGCAGCAGCUGUACGGGUGGCUGGUCUCAGACGAUCUUGAAGGUGAAGAUGCUGGAUGUGGAGGUCCUGGGCUGGUGUGGUUACACGUGUUCUGCGGUUGUGAGGCCGGUUGGAUGUACUGCCAAAUUCUUUAAAAACUACUUUGGAGACAGCUUUUGGUAGAGAAAUGAACAUUCAGUUCACGGGCAACCGCUCUGGUGGACAUUCCUGCAGUCAGCAUGCCAAUUGCACGCUCCCUCAAAACUUGCAACAUCUGGUGCAUUGUGCUGUGUGAUAAAACUGCACAUUUCAGAGUGGCC